GUUGAUGAUGAUUAUGCCACAUUUAAUCACGACGGUCUACUGUUUGUUUAAGGACUGUUAAUCCUUAAAUGUUGAUGAUAAAUACUCGGCCUUGACCGGCCGGUGGUGCCUGAUA
rnacentral:snoRNA from 1 species